rnacentral:rRNA from 1 species
CAGCAGUCGCCGCGGGAAUACAGAGGGUGCGAGCGUUAAUCGGAUUUACUGGGCGUAAAGCGUGCGUAGGCGGCUAAUUGAGUCGGAUGUGAAAUCCCCGAGCUUAACUUGGGAAUUGCAUUCGAUACUGGUUAGCUAGAGUGUGGGAGAGGAUGGUAGAAUUCCAGGUGUAGCGGUGAAAUGCGUAGAGAUCUGGAGGAAUACCGAUGGCGAAGGCAGCCAUCUGGCCUAAUACUGACGCUGAGGUACGAAAGCAUGGGGAGCAAACAGGAUUAGAUACCCCAGUAGUCCCUGUCUCUUAUAC